rnacentral:lncRNA from 1 species
UUAGUUGAAUGUUUUUCUUCUUAAAUGGAUAUAUAAAUAUAAUUGUUGAAUUUUCUUAAUAUAAGAAAACCUUUAGUUUUUAGGUUGAUUUUUGUUUUUGAUUUAUUUAAUAUCUGAUAUUUGUGUUUGAAUUUGAUUAAUUUAAAUUAGCAUAUUAUAAGGUUUAUUUUCGAGAAAAUUCAACAGAGUUUUUUUUUCAUCCACAUAAGCUUGAACUAAAUUUUUUUUUACUCGUUUAUUUAGAAAAAAAAUUAACUAUUUUGACUAGUGUGUCACCUUUUUCCUUAUUUGUUCUUGUACUUGUUUUACUUUACUUAUGUAAAUUAUAGAAAGAGAUUAUGAAAUAUUAUUUUUUUUUUUUAAAAAAAAAGGAAUUUAUGUUUGUUACGUUUUGUUUCAACUUUUUUUGCCUUUUUGUGCAAUAUAGUUGUAUCUAUAAUUAAAAAACAAUUUUUUGAAGAAACAUUAUGUGGAAUAAAGUUGCUAAUAUAAAAAAUGAUUUAUCGGUGGAAGUAAACAAAAAGUUUUCAUAUUUUAUGGAGCUUUAAUUUAAAAGUUUAUAAUCUAUGACCAUAUAUAAACUUGAAAACCUAUAAAAUAAAGUUUUAUUGUUUCAAGUUAGUUAUUUUUUUUCUUUAAUUGGAUUUUGAGUAUUCAAAACAUUUUCAUAAAAAAUAGUCAUGGUAAUUUCUAGAAUGUUAAAUUAUGAACUCUCUCACUUAUUUAGGUGAAUAGAUUUACCCCUACAAGUAAUAUAACUUAGGAAGCUAAAACAAACUUUGAAGACCUGAGAUUUUUCUUUUCUAAAAGACUGAUUAAUAUGAAAAAAGCGAAAAAUAAUAAAGUUGAUUAAUCUAUUAAUGAAUUUUUAGCUAUCGUGUAAAAUAGAAAAUAUCCAUCUAAUAUAAGACAUAUUCUUUCUUUUAGUCUGGGGGCAUUAGUAAAAGAUCUAAGCGGUCUUAGCUCCUUCUUUGGUUUUGCCGCCCUUGCCCUUCUUCUCUUUUCUCUUCUUUUAGAAGAUGUCCGUGAUCGGAACGACUUCUGGAGUAAUUAACAAAAUAAAUUUCUCAUCUUAAUCUUUUUAUCUAAUAAAAUAAAAUCAAUUAAACUUGUGAAUUGUGAUCAAAUGAUUCAGAACUCUCCGCCUUUGAUCAAAAAUCUCGUACUCGACCCUUCUAAAAUUGAAAAAAAAUAAAUAUGUUCAAAGCACCGCUCCUAAAAAAUUACUCUCCAUAACAGCCUGAUACAGCCCAAAAAACAAUUCUACUCUUUAUUUUUAAUGAUUUUUAACAUGUAUUAUUAGUUUGUAUACAAUAUACAUUGAUUAUACAUGUCAAUGUUAAACUCCUUAUAUAAAUUUUAAUAUAUAUAUAUAUAUAUAUAUAUAUAUAUAUAAAAUAAAUACGAGAUUUAAAUUCAAAUUUGAACUUCAUAAUAAUGACAGUAUUUUUUAAAAAAAAGGUUCCGGAGACUAAAAAGUGGUUAUUUAUGAAAUUUAUUUUAAGGUUUCUUAAUCAUUAUUUUUCUUUCUUAAUUUGUAUAUUAAUUGUUGACUAUGGUCCCUCUACCUACAUUUUAUGAAGUUGGUCAAAUACAUUUAAUUUUAUUGAUUAAAUUGUCACUUGUCAUAAUAUAUAACCAUUUUUAGCCAUAUAAUUAAUUGAAAAUUUGUGAUUCUUUCUAUAUACACUGUAUCAUUUAGCUUUAACAAAACUAUCAUGUGACUCUUCUAACAUAUUAUAGUAUUUUAUUAUAUUAUUUAAGUCAAAACCAAACGUGUUGAAAAUUAUAUAUGGAGGAAUUUAAGUCUUAUGAUUGUUUGAAUAAUUAACUUGUCUAUAAUUCCUGAUAAGAUGUUUAAUUUGAUUAUCGUCUUUAUUAUAUUUACGAGGUAAUAAUAAAAUUUAUAUAGAUUUUUCUAUUCAGAUUUUAUUUUUGAAAUUGCAAUUAUUAUUUUAUUGUGAACUUCGGGGUAUUGUAGUAUUUUUGUUAUUUAGGUUUAAUUUUUUUUCUAUGAAUAAUAUAAAUUUAUACUUGCCUGGCAUAAUUUGACCAAUUAAUGAUUUUUUACGUCAUAAUUAUAUAUAGUUGAAGAGGUAAAUUUUUGUGUUAUUUUUUGAAACUAUUUUAAGUAAUUCUUUAUUAUUGAUUGUACUUCGACCAAAUAAAUUUGAAGAGUCUUUGAGGAUAAUUACAUUACAUAUAAGCUAAUAAAAAUUAAAUUGAAGUAGGAAAUUUAGAUUAAUAUCAAGAUGAGAUUAAAAUAUGUAUUUUUAUACAUAAAAUAAUUUAUUUAAAAGAAUCAUAAGUGUUACUCUUUUUGUCCCUAAUUAGCGGUUUGAUUUUUUCCUUUUUUAUUUGUUUUUUUUUAAUUGUCCAUUUUGAUGAAUGGAUAAUUUUUUUUUUUACCUAAUUAGUUAAGUAAUUUUAGAAAAGGUAGAACUUCUUGAAAAAAAUCUUAAAUUAUUUAAUUCGUCUAUUAAAUAAUUAAUAGACAUAAAAUGAUAAACUCAUUAUGUUAAAAAAAAUUUUAAUGAAUAUUUUAAUUUAAAAGUGAACAAAUAACUAGAAACGUAAAAAAAAUAUUAAGCUAGUCUUUGUCUAUCAAUAGAUAAAAUAUUUAACCGAUUAUACGCAAACGUUAUUCUUACAUUUGCAAUAAAGUGUAUGCAAAACCGUACAUAUAUAUAUGAUAAUAAAUAGGCAAAAUACAAUAUUAAAUUAAACAGUAGUUUCCAUGUGUUUAUUGUUUUCUUUAAAUCUAUUUAAUUUUGUUUAUUGGUAACUUUAAAAUAUCUUUAAAAGUUACCUGCCGUGUGAAAUAAAAUUAAAAUAAAUAUAGGAUAAUUACCCACCUAGCUCGUUCUAUGGUUCAAAUUUACGUAGACGCAUUAUAUAUUUAUUUAUUUAUUUAACUUUAAUAGUUUAAUUAAUUGUACACUUUUUAAUUUGAAAUUGCCCAUUAGUGUAUAGUCAAAAUUAAUGAUAACCUUAUCCUUAUUUUGGCUAUGAAAUGAUUUGAGUCUUUUAUUUUUUUGACGUUUCCAGUAAAAAAUUAAGUAAAAUAACUUCAAAUUAUUGUUUCUAUUCCAUAUUUGUUCCUUUUCAUAUUCACUGAUCAAACUUCAUAUUAUCGAGGACAUGAAGGUCAAUCGUGUAUCAAGAUACAAGGUUGAUAAUGAAUAAAGUGUUAUCUUGCGACGGAUCGUGUGUAGUACUGGCCGUACAUUUUUAGUUAUUGCCAUAUGUUGUUUAUUGUAUUUCAACUAUCACAUUAUAUUUGUUGAUAUUACCGUUCUUUCUUGUAAACUUUACAUUACUUAAUUUUCUCAUUAACGGUUAUGCUUCUUCGCUGCUCUCUUUUUACUCGUACUUCUGCUUGAUGUACUUGAGUUGAAGGUCUAUCGAUAACAGUCUCUAUUUUCUCGAGGUAACAGAUGGUUUACAUAUACCCAACUUUCUCUAAAUCUCACUUUGUGGAAUUUUACUGAAUAUAAGCUCUUGAAAUGUUUGUGACCAAUUAUUAUUAAUCCAAAAUAAAAGUUGGAAGAAUGAGUAUAUGAGAAAAUGAGAGAAAUUAGGACCAAUCAUAAAAAAUUUUAAAAAAAGAUUAUUUUUUUUAAUUUUUUAAUUUUUUUAUGAUUGAUAAUACAUUUGGUGGGAAUAUUAAAAGGCAUAUAAUAGAAAUAUUCAUUUCUGGUCAUGUCAGUGUUAUUGAACAGAUCCCACUAAAGAGGCAGAAGGAAAGAAUCAAGGAAUUAUUCUUUUAUAUUAAAGUUUCUGUAAAACAGAAUAUUCCAAUUUAAGAAAUAUAAAUUAAACUUUUUUUGACAUUAUAAUAAUUGGGAAUAUAUAGGAAAGCACUUAUACAUUUUCUUAUUGGGCUUGUGAUCCUAAUUUAAUAAAUUUUCAUCAUACAAUCUUCUACACAUGAUUUCCCAACUUGUAACCUAGUGUCUCUUAUAAAUUUGAAGUUCGAUAUUAGAUUCAUCUGAAUUCAUAUUUUAUAUAUAUAAAAUUGAAUUUAUUUAAAUUUUAUUUUAUUAUUAAUGUCAUUGUAAGUUAACAUAUUUUUGUACAAUCUUUCACACAUUUCUUAAUUUAUAAUGCUCGUUUCUUACAAAUUCAGAGUUAUAAUGCAAUAUUAAAUUUACUGAAUUAAUUUAUACUCAAAGGUGUUUUAUAUGUGAGAUAUCAAACUCAUCUGAAUUUAUAUUUUAACUAAAAAUUGAAAAUUCAUAUGUACAAUGAACUAAAAUUGUAUAUUGUAAAUUGUAACUCAUAAUUUUAAUAUUACGAUAAGUUUGAUAUCAAAAAUCUUAAAAGUUAACCUCUCGAAACUUAAAUUUUAAAAUCCAUCUUCGUUUACUAUGUAUAUUAGUAGUCAAUAAUUCAAUAGUUUUUAUAGAAAUGCAAUUAAAAUAACUAGUUGAUCAAAUUAAAUGUAUCUCUUUGAGAAAUUGAUAUAUAAAUUACUUUUUUUACUCUCUUUUUUCACUCACUGAGUCAUCUGUAUAUAUUUCUUCAGUUAGUUUAUUUUUUCUAUAGACGCUGUCAGAAAUUCAAGUCAGGAUCCAUGACCAUUAUUGGUGUAUAUAUAUACAUAGUGAUUGUCCUCACCGCACUUGUAUAAGCGGGCAGAGAUGGUAGUGACGGUUGUUACAAGUGUUGUGAGGACAAUCACUAUGCAUGUGAAUGUACCUAUGGUGGUCAUUGACCGUGGCUUGAAGUCCUGACUACGUUUGCACAAAAAAUAAACUAAAUGAAGAAUUUUUGGCAUAUAGAGAUGACUCAGUAAGCGAAAAAAAAAAGUGAUUUAUAUAGCAAUUUCUCAAUGCAAUACAUUUAAUUUGGUCAAUUAAUUAUUAAUUACAUUUGUACAAAUAACUAUUGAAUUAUUGACUAAUAAUUUAUAUAAUCAAUACUAUUAACUAGUUAGCUAAAUACUAAAAUUACAUAAAUUUUGACUAGGGAAAUUCUUUCAUUGUCCACUAAAUUUACUUAUCGAAGAGAAUAUUUUCGUUAAUAAAUCAUAAGUCCAUAAUCAAUUAACAAUAUUCAUAGGUAAAUAAAUAACUAAAAACAAAAUUUUUUGAUUUAGCUAAAACAUAUAUAAUUUUUAGAAACAAUGAUUUCUUUUAUAUAUAAAAAUAAGUAAGGUGAAAUAUAUCGCGUAAUUAUUUUGUACAUUCAAGCUCUCUAUUAAACCAAAAUUUUCUUUUCUCCGUUUUUUCAAUUUUUGCUUGGAUUAUUGACAUAUGACAUAAAUUAAAUUUAAUGACUAAUAAUUAAUUUAUUUAAGUAAAUUCUUAAUCAUACUUUUUUAUAUAAUAAAACACAUUAUAUGUUAGUCAAAAUUUCCUCUAAUUAUAGUAUUUUUUUUAAAAAAUCAUGUACAAAAUAAAAUAUACUCCCUUUAGUACAAAAUGAAAUCACUUGAUACGUAAAGGGCCAGAGGCGGAGUCAGAAUUUUCAAUAAAGGGGUUCAAAAUCUGUAGAAACAGAUAAUCGAAGGAGGUUCGACAUUUACUAUAUAUAUACCUACAAACUUAUUUUAACUAUGUAUAAACAAUAUAAUAUUCCGCUGAAGGAAAUUUAAAUAAACCCCCUUCAUACAGAAUAGCUCCGCCCCUGAUAAAGACUAUUCUACUCGUAGCUCGACUUGAUUUGAUUUAAGUAUAUAUUAAUCAAUAGAAUUAAUUAAAUUUGAUUAGGCCCAAAAUUAUUUGACAAAGAUGUCCAACAAUUUUCAUGUCCUAGUAUAUUUGGCAGGUGAAUCAGAAAAAUAAAAUAAAAUCACAACUAGUGGUAAAAUAUUUUAGUGCACUUAGUUAAAUUAAAAUUGAUAACUACUUGACCAGUCACAAAAUCACUAAUAAGUUAGUGGCCACCUAAGAAUUUUAAUCUUUCAGUGCAUGCGAACAAGUGUACAGAUUCCUGGCCAUAAUAUAUAUUUACUCCCUUCGUUUUUUAUCUCAAUUUAUAUGACAUAUUUUAAAUUACUCGAUCUUCAAUUAAGUGUGUCGUUUGAUCUUCUUGUGAUAUAUGAGAAGUAGUGGGGUCACAUAUAGUCGAGGGUACGAUGUUAAUCGACACCAUUUUACUAGAAAACUAUAUUGUGUAACUAGGUAAAAAUAUUAUUCUACAAGAGUAUAAUAUGUUCAUAUCCUUUCGUUUCUAUGUGCUUUAGCAUCUGUAUAUUUUGACAUCUCUCUUGGUAAAAAUUCUGACCCCAUUACUACACAUGAUCAGAGUAUACUAAUUUUAAAAAUUAUAUACAUAAAAGAGUAUCGAAUUUUAUUAAGGAUCACAAAUUCACAUGCCUAAAUUUUUACUUAUAAAUUCACUCAUGCGAUCAGAGCUUUACGUCCAAUCAUUUCGAAUAACGUUUUCAUUCUCUGUAUUAUUACGAUUCAGAAUUAAUCGAUAUUUAAAUUUCUCAUAUAAUGUUAUUAAUUCUUCUCUAAAAAAACUAUUUAAUAAAUUUCUCCGGACUUAAUUCUUCAAAUGUUAAUAAAGUACAAUCUUUAUUAUUAAAAAUUUUUAAAACUCAAAUUCGAGAUCUAUCGAAAAAAAUACAAAGAAUUUUAACCAUGUUAUCGUAACUUUUGGUGAUAGUUACAGUUUGACCGUUAAUAAGAAGUUGUUUGGCACUGUGAAAAUGACAUGUAAAAGGCUGGAUGUAUUAUAUUCUAGUGGGGGAUUUGCUGAUGUUGCAUUGGGGCCAAAGGUAGAAAAUAAAAUAAAUAAUAAUAAUAAGUACUAUCUUAUUGGUUUAAGAAAAAAAAUAAUAUCUUAUUGACUAAUAAUAAUACAAAAUCUAUUUAAAAUGGUGAAAAUUUAUAUUGAAUGGUCCAGCUAGUAAUAUUAUUCGUUUUAAGCUAAGAUUAGCAUGGAGUUACAACAUAUCAAAUGAAAAUCAUUUAUAAUUUUUCUAUCUGAUCUGCAUUUACUCAAUUCUUUAAUUUUCAUGUCCUACCUAUAAAUUUUGGCUAAUUUGUUAUUGUUAAUUUAUUGUUAUGGUAUAAAAUCCAUAUUACUGACCAUAUAUAACUAUAUAGUUUGGUAUUAUAUUUUUUCUACAAAGUUUUUUUUUUUACAAUCAAAUGACAGUAGUAAGAAUAUUAUUACUCCUACAUUAUAUUUAACUUUAUUAUAUGUAAAAUUCAAAGUACUUUCUAGGUCAUUUUGCAUUUGACAUGUAAAGAUGAUUUGGAUUCUCACUAUUAAAUACUAUUUUUUUUAAUCAUGAUAAAAAAAUUAAAGCAGUUUCGUGUUAACUUAGUUGUACUAAUUUUAGUUUAUAAUUAUUAUUUAAUUAAUUAAUCCUAAGAGGUGAUCUGAAUUAGCCAAAUUGUAUAUCACUAGAUGCUGUGUGUAAUCCAUUAUAUGAACUCUGCCACAAAUUAAAGUUGAUUAAUUAGUGGUUAUGAUCAUCUUUUUGCAUCAUCCCCCUAACUAAAUUACAAUUCUAUACUUAGGAAAUUUAUUUAAUUAUACAAAAACCCAUAAUCUUGUGACACCAUUUUCAGGCAGGAUUAACACACUUUUCAUUUACUUUUUUAAAAAAAAUUCAAUUUUCGUACUUAAGAUGUGGUGCAGUAAAUAAAGUUAUUUCUCUCUUAAUUAAAGAUUUCAUAUUCGAGUUCAGCGUAUGAAAAAUUAUCUUUGAUAGAGAGUAGCUCCCUCUGAAUAAAGCUCUGUGUGACGAAAAUUUAAAUUAGUCGAACUCCAAUAUAAUUUUUUUUUUUUUGGGAACACUCAAGGCAACAAAAAUAAUAAUUAUUUUAUAUAUAUAUUAUUAUUAUUUUCUUUUCACUAGGAUGAUUGUCAAUUGCUACCAUAAUAAGUUUAAUUAUUUUAUGCUAAUCCUAAGUCAAAUCCUAAUCUUAAUGAUUUUAUCCAUAUGCAAACCGAUCCAAAUUUGGAUGAUGAGAGAAUAUAUUUUAUUUUUUAAAAAUAAGUAAACAAAAUCAUGAUGAUUAUGAAGAGUACUUAAUUAGACUAAUAAGAUUUAAAUAUUAAAAACUCAAAUCAAUAAAUGGUCAAAGCUCACAAACAGCUCUAUAUUUUAUUGUUACUUAAUCAAUUUUAAGGUACUACUAGUUAUCUUUAAUUUAAGUCAAUGUGAUUUAAUGUUGAGUUGGAAAAGCACAUAUUCAAGGUAGAUUUUGUAUUUUUUUUCCAAUUUUAUGUACUCAUUAUGUAUAAAAUAUUUAUAUAAUCAGAUAAAUUUAUUAAGUACAAUUACAUUCAUAUAUAUAUAUAUCUCGAUAGUAUUUCUCUAUUGGUGAGUCAGUAAAAAUAUUAAUCGGUGAAUAAAUUUAUAUUGGUAAUUCAUAUACCUCCUAUCAGUAGUAUUAACUAUUCAAUUUUAAAGUAAAACAAUUCAUUUUUAACUAGAGAUUUCGAGUUUGAGCUUUUGAGAAUAAAAUUCUUAUUGAGAGUGUCGACCUGAUAAUAAAUCAUGCAAUAAGUAAAUUUUAAUUUACUUGAUUUCAAUACAAAUAUCGAACGAUAAAUUAAAUAAAAUAGAACAAUCCCCUUGUAAAUGUUCCAUUGUUGGCUAAGCAAAGCAAGUUAGGUGCAUUUCCAAUUUCCCCCAAAUGUGUCACAUGACAACUCAUUUCAUUAAUUAUUAAAUUACGUGAGGUAAAGAAUGAGAUUGUUUCUGUUUUAAUUAGAGGUCUUGAAUUCAAAUUCUCAAUGUAGAAAAUAUUUUUGAUAGAAAGCGCUACUCUCAUAUGGGGGUCUUAUUAGGCGUGAAUCUGAAUUAGUCGAACUUUAAUAUGAAUAUCAAACACAGAAAAAAGAACCAAAAAAAGACAACUCAUUUAAAUUUCCCUUUAAUAACUAUAAAUAAAUAUUAAUUUUAAAGUAUUCAACCACCUUUGAAAAAAAAAGGAAACCUUUAAGUCAAAAUUUAUAUAUUUAUUCUUAAUUAAUUUUUUUAUGACGAAAUGUAAGUGUUAUUGUGCUAAAAAAAUAUGUGAAUCAAAAAAGAAAAAAUUGAUGGUGGCUUGAAGCAAAGCAAAGUUGGUACAGAGCACUGUUGGAGAAUUUAAUUAAUUUAAUUAACACGUAAUUAAAUAAUUAAUUACUUUAUCAAAAAAAAUAUAAAAAAAAUAAUUAAUUUAAAACCCUACCAUUGUAUCUAAUUACGUAAUUUUUUUGUCCUUAAUACUAAAACGGUAAUGGUUUUUUGAUGGAGAAAAGCUGUAAAUCUUUCUGAUUUAAGUGGAGACAUCUUUAGCCAUAAUUAAAAAUUUGUUUAAUUAUUUUUUAAUUAAAAAAUUUAAUUAAUCAUGUAUUUAACACAUUAUAAAUAAACCAGCUGGCAAAUAUUAUAAUAUAAUUCAUUUGGCAGCUUUACUUUGCUACUUUGCACUUCACAACAUAAUUUAGCACAUAUAACAUAGAAUCUUUUGGACACAUUUUGCAAGAUUUGAUUAUAUAUAAGUAUUUUAUUUUUAAAGAUCCAACAAUAUUCUUCUAAUUAAGGUUUGAUAAUUAAUUAAAAGAUAAUAAACGUGAUUAAUUUUAAUUAUUCCAUAUUUAAAUAAAUUAUAUUCAUGUUCGAACAUGUAUAAUCCUAGUUUCAUGUCAAAUAAAAGACCAAUUUUCUCUCCCACAACGAAUGUAGGACUUUUAACACUUUUCAUAUGCUCAGAACUAGACAUUUAGAGUGUGAAUAAAAUAAAAUGAACUCAAACAUCGAGAAAUGAAAAUUAGGAUAGUCAAACUCUGAUACUAUAUACGAUAAAAAACCUGGAUCGAACAUAGUGUUGAUGUUCAUAGACCAAAGAAUGUGAUGUCAACACUACUAAAUGUUCAUGAUAAUGAUUUUACGUUAUAUACUUAGCCUUUGUCACUCUCCAAAGGACAAUAUAGUUUAGUUAUAUAUCGACCUUGGCUAAACAAAUUAUAUUAAUAUUUCCUAUGUAUAUAUUUUAAUUUAUUUAUUUUGGGAUCUUGCAUUUUUGAGAUAUAAGAUAUAGUAGUACGUAGUUCGAACACUAAAUAAAUUAUUAAUCUACACUUUUUAAAGUAAAUUAUUAAUUAAUUCAAGUGAUCCAUAAGUAGUGGGCACAAAACCUUAGGGUUAUUGAGCCAUAGAAAGAUGUUUUUAUAAGAAAAACAAAGUAUUGUUAUCUUGGUUUGCACUAAGUUUGAUCAUCACAAUUAUUGGUUGAUCAAAAAUCCAAUUGACAACUACGUUGAUAUUUAGGUAAAGUAUUAAUAUAUAUAUAUAUAUAUAUAUAUAAAUGGUUUGGAUCGAUCGGUUGAGACUACUAGAUUCGAUAUUUUUAGUUGAGGAUAUAAUAGGGGGAAAUACAAUAUGAAGAAUUCAAAGUUCCACCAACAAGAUGAAUAAUCAGGUAGUGAAUCAACUAAUUUAUGAUGAUUUCUCAGAAACAACAAGUAGCUCGAGCUCUUACAAAAUAUGGAUGAAUGUGCAUUGGAUCCUCCAUAAUAAUGUAAUUUGGAAGAGUCCUAAAAAGCAACAUAUAUGAUUUGAAGGGAAAUUAACUUACGGAAUUUCCACUAGUUUAGGAGCUACUUACUACAGUCUACUUUGCAAUAUUACGAAUCAUAUAAGAUUUUAGUGCGUCUAGAUACAUGUAUCCUAAGAUACAUGAGAACAAAUUAGGUGUAAUUUGUUCUAGAUACAGUGUAUCUCAAUGGAUUCGCAUGUACUUGGUAUACAUAGACAAAUCUCACUCACCUCUUUCUCAUCUCGUCCUUCACUCUCCUAUGUAUCUAGCAUCUCAAAUAUAUGUGAAUCACGUCAAAUACAUAUAUCUCAUUCACCUCCUUCUCAUCUCGCAUGCCUCUCUCUAUAGUUUAGUGCAUCGAGUAACAAAAAUAUAUAUAUAUAUUUAAGUGUAUCUUUCUUCAAUAUAUAAUAGAAACCUCUUAAUUAGUGGUUGAAUAUAUAAUUACUUUAAACUACAUAAGUAUAUAUAUGGAUAUAUGUCCAUUAAAAUGUUUUUCCUUGUUAAAAACCUUGAAUCUUUUUAUUGGUUUGUUGAAAUUUCUAAAAAUUUAUUGGUUAGAAAGAGAUAUAUCAUGAGCACUUAUGUAUCUCCUUCUUAUAUUAUUAAUUAUUAUUACAUCCACUAAUAUACUGUUUCAAUCUCUCCCUUAGCUCAGGAUCACCAAACCCUAAUUCCAUUUGCCCCACCCUCCCACCUCUAAAGAUUCUCAAUAAUUCUUCAAUUCUACUUUCCACUUGUCCAAUUUGAUCUUGAAUCAAUGUUAUUCAAUGAACUUCAUACUGUUAAUUUAUUGAGUAUAGAUGCCGCUUCGUGAUUUGAAAUUUAUUGAUUCUAAAUUUGAACUUACGGUACAGGGGUGGAGCCAGAAUUUAAAGUUUAUUUAGGAUUCUGAGUUUAAAUUCAGGAGAAGAGGCGAAAUUAAGGUUUAAUGUUAAUAUAUGGGUUCUAAACUUAACUAAGUUUAGGAGCAAAGACAGAGUUUACGAUUUUAAAUUUAUAUAUUCAAAAUUUUAGCUUUUUAAGUUUAAGUUCUAAAUUAAUGAUUUAUAUGCAUUCAAUAAAUUACUUAUGACAAAUAUAGGAUGUGGAUCAAAGUUAUUGAAUUAGGCGGAAAAUGUAACCAAAAUCCUUGUUUAUGGCUUACUAAAGUUUAUUAUAUAUACAUAUCGAGUAAAUUUUUGGACAAGUGUAUAUAAUUAACAUUCGAUAAAAACUUAUUAAAUUCUGUCAAACUUGUACGCUCCACCUAGAUUGAGGAUGGAGAAAACAUGUCCUCCUCCUCCAUCAUCUUCAUGUAUAGAUAAAGACCUUAAAUUUCCUAUCUUGAUUGUCCACUUUUUCCAACUUUCCAUCUCAAAAGAGACAAUUUGUCUCAAAAUUAGUAAAAUGGUCUAUAAUAUCUUUUUUAAGUGAUCUCAACACUAUCUACUAUAUCAUUAAAUCUUUGUUAAUUACAACAUUAAUACUAUCUCAAAUAUCAAUGAUUAAUGGUGUGUGUGAAUUAUGUCACAUUGACAUGUCCAAGAAACAAAACAAUGAGAGUGAUAAAAAAAAAUAAGCAUGUUUGACCUUCUUACGAAUUGAACGAUUUAAAUAUAACAUACGCUGUAUAUAGGAUUCUCAUGAUGCAUAUAAUAAGUCUUUAUAUAUAUAAGUGAUAUUAUGAUCCACAUUACACAUAGCACAAAUUUAAAAUAGAUAUAUUAUUAAAUGAUCUUUAUUAUUUUAUCGAUACGAAAUUUGCCUAGAUUAUUAUAUUAUUGGGAUAUUGAGUGGGGAACAUUGGUAUUGCAUUUAAUAUGUUUAUAAGGCUAGUAAAGAAAAGUUAAAAAGGCAUUUGAGUAUAUAUGUUUUUAGUGGUUGCUUUAUUGAGACCUUCGAUAGGGACAUUAGACAUUACCACAAAGCCAAAAACAUUGAUGAAAAUUAAAAUAGUGAGAGACCACUUCAAUAAUAUUAUAAUAAGUAUAUAAAAUAUAGUCAAUUAAAUAUAUCCACACAUUGCUUUUUUAGUGGAUGGUUCUAUUUAUUUAGAAAUAUAAUACGUUUCUUAAAAGAUUCAAUGAUUUGAGAACAUAAUUUUACUAUUUUUUGAGUUCUUUUACGACUCUAUAUAUCGAUUAUAAUAUAGUAUAUGUAGAUCUUUUAAGUCAUAUUAUAUAUUUGUAUUAGUAGCAUUUUUUAUUAAUUAGUUUUGGGUAAAUUCAUACUAAAUAUAUAUGGAUUAGCUUGCUUUGUUACUUAGUAAACGAUAAUAUAGUUCUAUAAAUAAUUAAUUAUAACAUCGUUUUGACAUGAAGGGGUAUCAAAAGCACACAUUUUAAUUGAUUAACUGAAAAUUAAACAUAUUGAAUCGUAUAUCACAUAAAUCAAGAUAAAAUUUAUUAAUAAUUUAAAGAUUAAACUAUUAUUAUCCCCGUAUAAUAUUUUAGGACAUAGUAUUAUAUUAUAAUUUAUAUGUCAAGAUUUAAGAAAAAUAUUUUAAAAAGGUCCCACAGUUUGAAUCUUUGACCAAUGAUUUGGAGUAUUUAUGGACUUAAUGAAUCAUAAGCCACAUACUAUCUUAAUAAUGAAUAAUUCUCCAAUUACAGAAAUAGAAACCACUAAAAAAAGUUUUGGUUAUUUAAAAUAAUAAUUAAAAAAGGACACAUAGUGUAAACACUAAUAGUGCUGAAGUCAUAAAAUUAGUUAAAGCAUUUAUAUAGAAAAAAAUAAUAUUGUCUUGUCCCAACUGAUAUAUAGUAAAGUUGCAAGAGGUCAACCGAAUUUAAUUUCAAUAUUUUUCAUUCAAAAUCACAUUAUAACAAAAACAAUAUAUUCAUUACAAAGUAAAAUAUCGCGAGUGAAAUCUAAAAAGGAUAAAGAGCACGUGGAUCUUGAAAGUGCAAGUCACAUUAAUCAUUAUAAUCUCAUGAGUAAAAUCUGAGAGAUCAUCUUCAAUAGACCCUCGACUUCAAAAUCAUAUUAGUAGUUGUAAAAUAUGUGGCGGGCAAAAAAGGUGGAGGUUUAUUUGGAGCAAUCCGUCAAGCUUUUACUGGACUUGAUAGACACCGACUCGUUAUCCUUCCACUACACAGAGCGGGAGCUGUUUACUGCUCUAUGAAGCCAGCCUCGUGCGAUCCGCCCCACUUUAGGAAUCAAGAAGCCCAUACUUACAUUUGGGCCUCAUUAUCCAACACUGUGCUUGGAUAGGGCAGGCCAGAAAUAAGCCCAUCAAGCCCAACCAUUUGGUUAAGCCCAAUAUUCUACCACCUUAAUGCCGGGUUACAAGCCCACGUUACUAAGCUCGACGUGCAACAAAGUGUCAUAGAUUAUUAUAAAUUCAUUAACAUAUGGCGAUGUGGGAAAAAUUAUAAAUUCCAUGAGAGGCAAUAAAGAGAGUUAUAUUUAGUUUAAUGUUGCACCAUUUCUUACUUUAUUUUCAUUUUGUACGAAUUGUACGUUUCAUAUAAUUGCUUAUUUCUUGUAUUUUGCUUUCAUACUUAAAUUUUGUGAUGUUAUACUUGAGUUGAGGGCUUAUUGGAAAGAGGUUUUUUGUCCUCACUAAGUAAAGAUUAGAUUGCGUACACAUUAAUAUUAUCAAACUUCACUUGUGAAAUUACAUUGAGUGUGUCGUUGUUGUAUUUUAUCUUGUACGACAAUGGCAUGAGUUGAGUUUAAUGAAGUGACGAGAAUUCAUAUAGCCGAUCCCAACUUAUUUAAAAUUGAGGGACCAAAUUCCGUUAAUAUUUCCCAUGUUAAAUUCGUGUUUUGAAUCAUUUCUUGCUUCGUUGUAGAAAGAAGAAAACUUAUAUAUUUGUUUUGUGAUUUUGAGACAUAAGAAAACUUAUAUAUUUGUUUUGUGAUUUUGAGGCAUAAGAUCUAAUAAUAUUAACUUCUUUUAAAUGACAAUACUUUUGUUGUGCUUCAUGAUUUACAUCCCAACAACCUAUGUGGUUUGAAUGAGUCAUUUUCUUCGUUCUUAAUCAAAGAUCUCAAAUUUGAAUCACAUGUAUAAAGAAUUCAAAUUAUCAAUCUUUUUACAAGGAUUUCGUACUCAAUAUAUAUAUAUAUAUGUGUGUGUGUGUGCAUAAAAUAACGGAAUAAGUAAGAACUUACAAUAUAAUUUUCGAUUGCACUGAUGAAAAUAUUGUGUGAAAAUCCUGAUUAGGCUGUAUAAAGAAUUCAAAUUAUCAACCUUUUUACAAGGAUUUCGUAUUCAAUAUAUAUAUAUAUAUAUAUGCAUAAAAUAACGGAAUAAUUAAGAACUUACAAUAUAAUUUUCGAUUGCACUGAUGAAAAUAUUGUGUGAAAAUCCUGAUUAGGCUGUAUAAAGAAUUCAAAUUAUCAACCUUUUUACAAAGAUUUCGUACUCAAUAUAUAUGCAUAAAAUAACGGAAUACUUAAGAACUUACAAUAUAAUUUUCGAUUGCACUGAUGAAAAUAUUGUGUGAAAAUCCUAAUUAGGCAAAAAAAGAUUUCGUACUCAAUAUAUAUGCAUAAAAUAACGGAAUACUUAAAAACUUACAAUAUAAUUUUCGAUUGCACUGAUGAAAAUAUUGUGUGAAAAUCCUAAUUAGGCAAAAAAAAGGUGGUUGUUUAUUGGAGCAACCCAUUAGGCGUUACUGAACUUGAUAAGACACCGACCCAUUAUCCUUCCACUGCACAGAGCGGGAGCUGUUCACUGCUCUGUGAAGCCAGCCUCAUGCGGUCCGCCCCGCUUUAGGAAUCAAGAAGCCCAUAUUUUCAUUUGGGCCUCGUGAUCCUACUCUGUGCUUGGACAGGGCAGGCCAGAACUAAGCCCACCAAGCCCAACCUUCUGGUAAAGCCCAAUAUUCAACCACUUUGAUGUCUCCACUUGGAUUACAAGCCCACGUUACUAAGCUCAACAUACA